UUAAAUAAACGUAGUCGCCGACAUGAUU
rnacentral:sRNA from 1 species